rnacentral:rRNA from 1 species
CAGCACCUCAAGUGGUCAGGAUGAUUAUUGGGCCUAAAGCAUCCGUAGCCGGCGCUGUAAGUUUUCGGUUAAAUCUGUACGCUCAACGUACAGGCUGCCGGGAAUACUGCAGAGCUAGGGAGUGGGAGAGGUAGACGGUACUCGGUAGGAAGGGGUAAAAUCCUUCGAUCUAUUGAUGACCACCUGUGGCGAAGGCGGUCUACCAGAACACGUCCGACGGUGAGGGAUGAAAGCUGGGGGAGCAAACCGGAUUAGAUACCCGAGUAGUCC